UACGUAGGGUGCAAGCGUUAAUCGGAAUUACUGGGCGUAAAGCGUGCGCAGGCGGUUUUGUAAGUUUGUCGUGAAAUCCCCGGGCUCAACCUGGGAAUGGCGAUGAAGACUGCAAGGCUAGAAUCUGGCAGAGGGGGGUAGAAUUCCACGUGUAGCAGUGAAAUGCGUAGAGAUGUGGAGGAACACCGAUGGCGAAGGGCAGCCCCCUGGGUCAAGAUUGACGCUCAUGCACGAAAGCGUGGGGAGCAAACG
rnacentral:rRNA from 1 species